GUGACCUGGCGCACAUGGAAUGACCCACCGAACUUAAGCAUAUCACUCAGUGGAGGAACAGCAAGCAACCUCGAUUGCUGCAGUAAUGGCGAAUGAACGAGCAGGACCCACGGCUCUUCCUGAAAAUGGGCUU
rnacentral:rRNA from 1 species